rnacentral:rRNA from 1 species
GACGAACGCUGGCGGCGUGCUUAACACAUGCCAGUCGAGCGGAAAGGCCCUUCUGGGUACUCGAGCGGCGAACGGGUGAGUAACACGUGAGUAACCUUCCCUAGUCUUUGGGAUAACCCCGGGAAACCGGGGCUAAUACCGGAUAUGACCUGGUGCCGCAUGGUGUUGGGUGGAAAGUUUUUUCGGCCUGGGAUGGGCUGGCGGCCUAUCAGCUUGUUGGUGGGGUGAUGGUCUACCAAGGCGAUGACGGGUAGCCGGCCUGGGAGGGCGACCGGCCACACUGGGACUGAGACAAGGCCCAGACUCCUACGGGAGGCAGCAGUGGGGAAUAUUGCACAAUGGGCGGAAGCCUGAUGCAGCGACGCCGUGUGAGGGAUGAAGGCCUUCGGGUUGUAAACCUCUUUCAGCAGGGACGAAGCGUGAGUGACGGUACCUGCAGAAGAAGCGCCGGCCAACUACGUG